GGAGAGAUGGCUCAGUGUUUAAGAGCACUGGUUGCUCUUUCAGAGGACCUGGGUUCAAUUCCCAGCACCUACA
rfam:Cricetulus griseus cell line CHO-K1, whole genome shotgun sequence.